rnacentral:rRNA from 1 species
GACGAACGCUGGCGGCGUGCUUAACACAUGCAAGUCGAACGGUGAAGCUCCAGCUUGCUGGAGUGGAUCAGUGGCGAACGGGUGAGUAACACGUGAGCAACCUGCCCCUGACUCUGGAAUAAGCGCUGGAAACGGCGUCUAAUACUGGAUACGAGAAGGGUCCGCAUGGGCACUUUCUGGAAAGUUUUUCGGUUGGGGAUGGGCUCGCGGCCUAUCAGCUUGUUGGUGAGGUAAUGGCUCACCAAGGCGACGACGGGUAGCCGGCCUGAGAGGGCGACCGGCCACACUGGGACUGAGACACGACCCAGACUCCUACGGGAGGCAGCAGUGGGGAAUAUUGCACAAUGGGCGAAAGCCUGAUGCAGCGACGCCGCGUGAGGGAUGACGGCCUUCGGGUUGUAAACCUCUUUCAGCAGGGAAGAAGCGAAAGUGACGGUACCUGCAGAAGAAGCACCGGCUAACUACGUG